rnacentral:rRNA from 1 species
ACGCGUAUCCAACCUGCCCACCACUUGGGGAUAACCUUGCGAAAGUAAGACCAAUACCCAAUGAUAUCUCUAGAAGACAUCUGAAAGAGAUUAAAGAUUUAUCGGUGAUGGAUGGGGAUGCGUCUGAUUAGCUUGUUGGCGGGGUAACGGCCCACCAAGGCAACGAUCAGUAGGGGUUCUGAGAGGAAGGUCCCCCACAUUGGAACUGAGACACGGUCCAAACUCCUACGGGAGGCAGCAGUGAGGAAUAUUGGUCAAUGGACGAGAGUCUGAACCAGCCAAGUAGCGUGCAGGAUGACGGCCCUAUGGGUUGUAAACUGCUUUUAUAAGGGAAUAAAGUGAGUCUCGUGAGACUUUUUGCAUGUACCUUAUGAAUAAGGACCGGCUAAUUCCGUGCCAGCAGCCGCGGUAAUACGGAAGGUCCGGGCGUUAUCCGGAUUUAUUGGGUUUAAAGGGAGCGUAGGCCGGAGAUUAAGCGUGUUGUGAAAUGUAGACGCUCAACGUCUGCACUGCAGCGCGAACUGGUUUCCUUGAGUACGCACAAAGUGGGCGGAAUUCGUGGUGUAGCGGUGAAAUGCUUAGAUAUCACGAAGAACUCCGAUUGCGAAGGCAGCUCACUGGAGCGCAACUGACGCUGA